AGAGUUUGAUCAUGGCUCAGGAUGAACGCUAGCGGCAGGCUUAAUACAUGCAAGUCGUGGGGCAGCAGGUCUGUAGCAAUACAGAUGCUGGCGACCGGCAAACGGGUGCGGAACACGUACACAACCUUCCUUUAAGUGGGGAAUAGCCCAGGGAAACUUGGAUUAAUACCCCGUAACAUAUAGAAGAGGCAUCUCUUUCAUAUUAUAGCUACGGCGCUUGAAGAUGGGUGUGCGGCUGAUUAGGUAGUUGGCGGGGUAACGGCCCACCAAGCCUACGAUCAGUAACUGGUGUGAGAGCACGACCAGUCACACGGGCACUGAGACACGGGCCCGACUCCUACGGGAGGCAGCAGUAAGGAAUAUUGGUCAAUGGACGCAAGUCUGAACCAGCCAUGCCGCGUGGAGGAUGAAGGUCCUCUGGAUUGUAAACUUCUUUUAUCUAGGACGAAAAAAGGGAAUUCUUUCUCACUUGACGGUACCAGAUGAAUAAGCACCGGCUAACUCCGUGCCAGCAGCCGCGGUAAUACGGAGGGUGCAAGCGUUAUCCGGAUUCACUGGGUUUAAAGGGUGCGUAGGUGGGCUAGUAAGUCAGUGGUGAAAUCUCCAAGCUUAACUUGGAAACUGCCGUGGAUACUAUCAAUCUUGAAUAUAGUGGAGGUGAGCGGAAUAUGUCAUGUAGCGGUGAAAUGCUUAGAUAUGACAUAGAACACCCAUUGCGAAGGCAGCUCGCUACACUAUUAUUGACGCUGAGGCACGAAAGCGUGGGGAUCAAACAGGAUUAGAUACCCUAGUAGUCC
rnacentral:rRNA from 1 species